rnacentral:misc_RNA from 1 species
UCCUAAAUCUAAUCUUCCUUGACUACAUCAUUCUCCUUUAGUUGGAAACUUGACCUUGAGUUUUGUAGUGUUACAUAAUGAAGCACCGAAUUUGGAAAACAUGCAAUCAUAACUUCUUGGAUGGUAGCUCUAGGAUUGAAUUGAUGAACUUUAUCCUUUCUUUCAUCCCUGAAAACAUCUAAACAUAUAAAAUCAAUCACAAAGGCUCUUCAAUCCACCAAGACCAAAGAACUAGCUAAAUCUUCAUUUUCGAUUGUCGACUCCAAGGUUUGAUUUUCUUCUUUCCCUAGGAUAGAUUCCUCAAGUUUUUCUUGCACAUUCUCAUCAGUUUCUCUCUUUAGAAUAGGUUCGUAAAAAAUUUUCAACUCAAUUUUAGCAUCUUGAAUUUCAUUAUGUGAAAAAUAUCAUAUUCUUCAGACUGCUCUUCUUUUUCUUCUUUAUUAAUUUGUCAUUGCAUAUAUUUGAGGUUUAAUUAUAUUUUCAAAAACUCUUGAUAAUGCUUCCAACUUUGCUUCAAUAUUAUCCGAGUGUUUAUCGUUGUUUCCCUGAGAUUUUUCUUCAAAUUGAAGAUUUGAGCCAGUAUCAUAAACCAAAUUGUUAGAACUUAGGUGGUUGAAUAAAAAAAAAAAAAAAAG